GCUUGCUACCUGACCUAGCGGCGGACGGGUGAGUAAUGCUUAGGAAUCUGCCUAUUAGUGGGGGACAACAUUCCGAAAGGAAUGCUAAUACCGCAUACGCCCUACGGGGGAAAGCAGGGGAUCUUCGGACCUUGCGCUAAUAGAUGAGCCUAAGUCAGAUUAGCUAGUUGGUGGGGUAAAGGCCUACCAAGGCGACGAUCUGUAGCGGGUCUGAGAGGAUGAUCCGCCACACUGGGACUGAGACACGGCCCAGACUCCUACGGGAGGCAGCAGUGGGGAAUAUUGGACAAUGGGCGAAAGCCUGAUCCAGCCAUGCCGCGUGUGUGAAGAAGGCCUUUUGGUUGUAAAGCACUUUAAGCGAGGAGGAGGCUACUGAGAUUAAUACUCUAGGAUAGUGGACGUUACUCGCAGAAUAAGCACCGGCUAACUCUGUGCCAGCAGCCGCGGUAAUACAGAGGGUGCGAGCGUUAAUCGGAUUUACUGGGCGUAAAGCGUGCGUAGGCGGCUUUUUAAGUCGGAUGUGAAAUCCCUGAGCUUAACUUAGGAAUUGCAUUCGAUACUGGGAAGCUAGAGUAUGGGAGAGGAUGGUAGAAUUCCAGGUGUAGCGGUGAAAUGCGUAGAGAUCUGGAGGAAUACCGAUGGCGAAGGCAGCCAUCUGGCCUAAUACUGACGCUGAGGUACGAAAGCAUGGGGAGCAAACAGGAUUAG
rnacentral:rRNA from 1 species